rnacentral:rRNA from 1 species
UACAGAGGUCUCAAGCGUUGUUCGGAAUCACUGGGCGUAAAGGGUGCGCAGGCGGCGUGGAAAGUCAGAUGUGAAAUCCGGGGGCUCAACCUCCGAAUUGCAUCCGAUACUCCCAUGCUAGAGAACUGGAGAGGAGUCUGGAAUUCUCGGUGUAGCAGUGAAAUGCAUAGAUAUCGAGAGGAACACUAGUGGCGAAGGCGAGACUCUGGACAGUAUCUGACGCUCAUGCACGAAGGUCAGGGUAGCGAACGGG